rnacentral:rRNA from 1 species
AGUGAACGCUGGCGGUAGGCCUAACACAUGCAAGUCGAACGGCAGCACAGUAAGAGCUUGCUCUUACGGGUGUCGAGUGGCGGACGGGUGCGGAAUACAUCGGAAUCUACUUUUUCGUGGGGGAUAACGUAGGGAAACUUACGCUAAUACCGCAUACGACCUACUGGUGAAAGCAGGGGAUCUUCGGACCUUGCGCGAUUGAAUGAGCCGAUGUCGGAUUAGCUAGUUGGCGGGGUAAAGGCCCACAAAGGCGACGAUCCGUAGCUGGUCUGAGAGGAUGAUCAGCCACACUGGAACUGAGACACGGUACAGACUCCUACGGGAGGCAGCAGUGGGGAAUAUUAGACAAUGGGCGCAAGCCUGAUCCAGCCAUACCGCGUGGGUGAAGAAGGACUUCGGGUUGUAAAGCCCUUUUGUUGGGAAAGAAAAGCAGCAGGUUAACACCCCGCUGUUCUGACGGUACCCAAAGAAUAAGCACCGGCUAACUUCGUG